rnacentral:rRNA from 1 species
UACAGAGGGUGCAAGCGUUGUUCGGAAUUAUUGGGCGUAAAGCGCGUGUAGGCUGUUAGUUAAGUCGGGUGUGAAAUCCCUGGGCUCAACCGAGGAAGUGCAUCCGAAACUAACUAGCUAGAAGGUGGUAGAGGAAGGUGGAAUUCCUAAGUGUAGAGGUGAAAUUCGUAGAUAUUAGGAGGAAUACCGGUGGCGAAGGCGGCCUUCUGGACCAUUCUUGACGCUGAGACGCGAAAGCGUGGGGAGCAAACAGG